CGCCUGUUUUUCAAAAACAUUGUCUCUUGACCACUGUAUAAGAGAUAAUUUCUGCCCAGUGAUGAUUUCAACGGCCGCGGUAUCCUGACCGUGCAAAGGUAGCAUAAUCACUUGCCUCCUAAUUAGAGGCUAGAAUGAAUGAAUAAACAAUGAUCUCCUGUCUCAUUACAAACUAUAAAAUUUUACUUUUAGGUGAAGAGGCCUAAAUAAUAAUAAAAGACAAGAAGACCCUAUCAAGCUUUAUUUCAUAAUAUAUAAUAAAUAUUUAAAAAUUUAGUUGGGGCGACAAAAAAUAACAAAAAUCAUUUAACUAAAUAUGAAUAACCAUUCCCAAUCAUUAACUUUACUAUAACAAAGAGAAAGCUACUGUAGGGAUAACAGGCUAAUACCUUUCAAGAGCUCUUAUCAACAAAGGUGAUUGGCACCUCGAUGUUGGCUUUGGAAACCUAAUCUGUGCAGAAGCAUAUUAAGGUGGUUUGUUCAACCAUUAAAUUCCUACAUGAUCUGA
rnacentral:rRNA from 1 species